CGUCGUCACUCAAUACGGGCUAUUGCGACGGCAUCACAUCAGUUUAUCGUGCGGUCUUGCGGUGUGACGACGUGCUGUGCCGUUUCGCCGUUGAUAUUGACGCUUCCGUCGUUUGCUUGCUUGAUCAAUUUGCGCUCGGAUUACGUAUUGAUAGUUGUGUUUUUGUUAUUGUAUUAAAAUGCCGUGCUUAAUUUCCACUAAACGGAUGUAUGCACACAAGUAAUUCACCUGCCGACGGCUCGUGAGGUGGUCGCUUAUCAGCUAUGGCUGUUGUGUUGAUAACCAAUUGUGACGGAAAGCUGCAAGCUCGAGUCUGUCAGAAUCACAAACACACAUAAAUGCAGACAGCGGGUGCAAUUUAACGGGAGUACUUACACGUCGGCAAAAUUUUAUUUUCACUUUUAAGCAUUGUAAAUAUGUGCAAGUGUGUGCUUCAAACAAUUGACAAUCGAAAAUUUCAAAAAUACGAUUUAAGAUAGCAAAAAAUGGUGCCGAAAAAAGAAUUAGCGUGAAUUCGAUUUUUGGUAAUAAAGAAAAAUACACAAUAGUUGCUUGAAUAGUGUGCUAAAAAUAAUCAAAAAGUAAUAAUAACAAGUCUGCACUGUGUUGAAUAUUUACAAACACUAAAAUUCGAUCGAAGAUAAAAAACAAAACAAAAGCAAAAGUAAUAAUAAUACAAUAGAGGAAUUAUACAACUAUCUGCUCUUGCUUAAAGAUAGUCCAAAGUGCUUUUAGUUAAUUGACAAGAAUAUUACAAAGAAAUACAAUAAAUGUUUAUGUGCGUUUUGUUAAUACAAACCAUUCCGCACUUAUUCCUGCUCAACCCACAACUCGCACAGUUUCGCAGUUAGGCGCUCCGCGGAGUUGUGGGCCCAAAAUUUACACUUCUUUCUCAAGCUGGGAUUACAAACCGCCAAAAUUGUGGAGGCACUUAAAAUGAAGACUGAGCUGCGUUCAUGCGCGGCAUGUGGGGAGCCAAUCUCGGAUCGGUUUUUUCUCGAGGUUGGCGGUUGUUCGUGGCAUGCCACCUGUUUGCGCUGUUGCAUCUGUCAAUGCCCGCUCGACCGACAGCAAUCGUGUUUCAUCCGCGAACGGCAAGUCUAUUGUAAAGCAGACUAUGGCAAACGCUUCGGCGCAAAAUGCUCAAAGUGCUGUCGUGGCAUCUCGGCGACGGAUUGGGUGCGUCGCGCACGUGACCUCGUCUUCCACUUGGCGUGUUUCGCGUGCGAUCAGUGCGGACGACAACUCUCCACCGGCGAACAAUUUGCUCUGAUAGACGAUCGGGUGCUGUGUAAGGCGCAUUACCUGGAAACGGUCGAAGGUGGCACCACAUCAAGUGACGACGGCUGUGAUGGUGAUGGCUAUCAUAAAAGUAAAACGAAACGCGUACGCACCACCUUCACCGAGGAGCAACUGCAGGUGCUGCAGGCCAACUUUCAGAUCGACAGUAAUCCGGAUGGACAGGAUUUGGAGCGCAUCGCCUCGGUAACCGGUCUCAGUAAGCGUGUGACGCAAGUUUGGUUUCAGAAUUCGCGAGCGCGACAGAAAAAACACAUUCAUGCUGGUAAGAAUAAAAUGCGUGAACCCGAAGGAAGCUCAUUUGCCCGCCAUAUUAACCUGCAGUUAACGUAUUCAUUUCAGAAUAACGCCCAGAAUGCUAUGCACCUGAACGGCAACUCAAAGGGCUUAUAUCCAACGCACGAAUCGUCCAUGGAUGAACUUUCGCAGGACUCGAGUGUGCAUUGCAUGCAAAGUGAAGUGUGACUGGAGCAUUUGAACCACCAUUAAAGGAAACAUGUACCAUACAUAUGUUCUAAACUAUUGGUGGCAUCGGAGACAAAGCUACACACCUACACAUGCGCUCAAACAUACACUUAAGUGCGAAACUAGGAAAUCACAUUUCAACGGAGUUUUGUGUAUAAAAGCAAAAAAACUCGAAAACUUAAACCCAGUUAUACAUAUAAAAAUCAAAAAACGUCCUAACCUAGUCAAAAUUACGAAAACAAAAUGUUAUUGCAAACAAAUUAAAUGCGGAAAUCGAAAAACGUCCAAAAGAAUGGCUAAAAGCAAAGGGCAAAAAACAGCGACUCCAGGCAAUUCUUCUGUCCAGCGGCCAGUAUUAAUCCACAUUCAAAUGAAUAUUCA
rnacentral:misc_RNA from 1 species